CACGGAUUGCAGAUGUCAUACACAACAGAAGCAGAAAGAAGGGUAAAAAUGCAACGGCGCCUGGUGAUUAUAUAUACCCAACCUGCGAUCGCAGCAGUGUAUCAAGGAUUGGCCUCUUUAGUCACACAAGAAGUUGCGAAGGUAAAAGAUCGUCUCUCCAGAUGUAAAAUGCCGCAGAAUAUAUAUAUAUAUAUAUAUAUGUUUACAGGAUUUGAUUUGGUGAUCCCUCUUCAGAAACAUCAGAUCAAAGGAAUGUACAUGCUGCUGAUAUAGAAAAAGUUUCUGACUGCUUACAGAUCAGUGUUCUUAGUUCUGCUAUUGAUUUACUAUUGCAUAAUAAAUAAACAUGUAAUGAUCAAUCACAUUUUUAUACCAAGUUCAUCUAAUGAUUUACACAGCAUAUUAUCAGCAUUCACAGUUCAUCUAAUGAUCUACAUAUGAAGCAGCACCAUGCAGAGCUAACAUCACCUACUGAAGAGAGUUUCCAUCAUGCUUUAGCAACAAUCCAAAAACAAAAUGAAAAAGUGGUUUCUUUGUUUGGGACAAGUCCUGAAAGGCCUUCAGAAUCUGGGAGCACACUAUUGUUAACAAGCAGUGUGUCAUAUGACCAGCACAAUGACCAACAGCCUUUACUUUUCGAACCAAAGUCAGGACACUGUUCAAAGAUAUUUUAAGAUGUUGGCCUCACAUCUUGACACUUGUUAGAGUGUAAAGAUUUGACUUAACAAAUGUUAAAAUAAAAAGAGCACAUUGUGGAGAGUUGACCGUCAUUAAAAAAUGAUUGUCAGACUUCUGCUAGAUGUUGAUCUUUUCAUCACAACACCAAUAACUUCUUCUUGGAGUCAAGUAACAGUGUAUAUCACCUGAAAAAGCUAUUUAAAUUCCCUUAAAGAUCACAAAUUAAUGCUGAUGACAUAAAGCACAUUUAUCCACGAAAUCUUAUGAACACAUAAUAUUAUGUUGUACAACUAAAUAGUGGUGUCUGGAAAUUUAGGCAGUGUGUAUGUAGUGUAUAUGCUUAUUUAUUAUUUAUCUGUUUCUUAAACAUAGGCUUAUGUUCCCCGUGCUACCCAAACUAUAAUUCGGAGUGUGAAACAUAACAGAUUAACAGGUGCUAUAUUAUGUUUCGUUUAACAAAGAUUUUCUUACACUCUACAUAUUCCUCCCCCCCCCCCGAGAGGUGGGCCAGGGGUAGUGGUAAGUAUUAUAAUCACGGACUGAGAAGACCUAACGGCGAGCGAGAAAGGGGUUACGUCGUCACUAGAUCUGUGUCAGCUCAAUACAAUUUUUUCUCUUCGUGGUGUAGUCUUAAUCAUAAACAGAUAAAAAUUAAAGUUUUAAGAUACUGUUAAUCUUCUAUAAUAAAAUGCUUAUUUCUUAUAGUAAUACGUUUCCCGUACUAGAUCUUUAUAAUUUAAUGUCAUUGCUCUAUAUAGUAUAGAUCACUUACUCACAAUGCAUACUUUUGUUGAAAAGAAAAAUAAUUAAACAUAUCGUGUAGAUAUAGAUGCGUGUUUCAUUAUGUUCGUGUAUAUUUUUGUUUUAUUUUAUCAAUAUUUCGCUUUGCUUGGUGACUUAAUAGAUA